rnacentral:piRNA from 1 species
UUCAAAGGCAAAAUGAGAACUACAU